UCGAGCGAACUUAACUAAAUGAAUGCGGUGCUUGCACCAAGUGAUUUUAGAGCGGUGAGCGGCGGAUGGGUGAGUAACACGUGGGUAACCUGCCUCUAAGCAGGGGAUAACAUUUGGAAACAGAUGCUAAUACCGUAUAAAUCCUAAAACCACAUGGUUUUAGGCUGAAAGGCGGCUUCGGCUGUCAUUUAGAGAUGGACCCGCGGCGUAUUAGCUAGUUGGUGAGGUAAUGGCUCACCAAGGCAAUGAUACGUAGCCGAACUGAGAGGUUGAUCGGCCACAUUGGGACUGAGACACGGCCCAAACUCCUACGGGAGGCAGCAGUAGGGAAUCUUCCACAAUGGACGCAAGUCUGAUGGAGCAACGCCGCGUGAGUGAAGAAGGCUUUCGGGUCGUAAAACUCUGUUGUUGAAGAAGAACACGUUUGAGAGUAACUGUUCAGACGUUGACGGUAUUCAACCAGAAAGCCACGGCUAACUACGUGCCAGCAGCCGCGGUAAUACGUAGGUGGCAAGCGUUAUCCGGAUUUAUUGGGCGUAAAGCGAGCGCAGGCGGUUUUUUAAGUCUGAUGUGAAAGCCCUCGGCUUAACCGAGGAAGUGCAUCGGAAACUGGGAAACUUGAAUGCUGAAGAGGACAGUGGAACUCCAUGUGUAGCGGUGAAAUGCGUAGAUAUAUGGAAGAACACCAGUGGCGAAGGCGGCUGUCUGGUCAGUUAUUGACGCUGAGGCUCGAAAGCAUGGGUAGCGAACAGGAUUAGAUACCCUGGUAGUCCAUGCCGUAAACGAUGAAUACUAGGUGUUGGAGGGUUUCCGCCCUUCAGUGCCGCAGCUAACGCAUUAAGUAUUCCGCCUGGGGAGUACGACCGCAAGGUUGAAACUCAAAGGAAUUGACGGGGGCCCGCACAAGCGGUGGAGCAUGCGGUUUAAU
rnacentral:rRNA from 1 species